rnacentral:rRNA from 1 species
AGUGAACGCUGGCGGUAGGCCUAACACAUGCAAGUCGAACGGCAGCACAGGAGAGCUUGCUCUCUGGGUGGCGAGUGGCGGACGGGUGAGGAAUACAUCGGAAUCUGCCCAGUCGUGGGGGAUAACUUAGGGAAACUUACGCUAAUACCGCAUACGACCUUCGGGUGAAAGAGGGGGAUCGCAAGACCUCUCGCGAUUGGAUGAGCCGAUGUCGGAUUAGCUAGUUGGCGGGGUAAUGGCCCACCAAGGCGACGAUCCGUAGCUGGUCUGAGAGGAUGAUCAGCCACACUGGAACUGAGACACGGUCCAGACUCCUACGGGAGGCAGCAGUGGGGAAUAUUGGACAAUGGGCGCAAGCCUGAUCCAGCCAUACCGCGUGGGUGAAGAAGGCCUUCGGGUUGUAAAGCCCUUUUGUUGGGAAAGAAAUCUUUCAGGCUAAUACCCUGGGAGGAUGACGGUACCCAAAGAAUAAGCACCGGCUAACUUCGUG